ensembl:rRNA 5S_rRNA 5S ribosomal RNA
GCUUACGGCCACACCGCCUGGUAUACGCUUUGAUCUCGGAAGAUAAGAUAGGUUGGGCCUGGUUAGUACUUGGAUGGGAGACCGCCUGGGAAUACCAGGUGCUGUAAGCU